rnacentral:rRNA from 1 species
UACAGAGGUCCCAAGCGUUGUUCGGAUUCAUUGGGCGUAAAGGGUGCGUAGGUGGCGCGCUAAGUCGGGUGUGAAAUUUCGGAGCUUAACUCCGAAACUGCAUUCGAUACUGGCGUGCUCGAGGACUGGAGAGGAGACUGGAAUUCAUGGUGUAGCAGUGAAAUGCGUAGAGAUCAUGAGGAAGACCAGUGGCGAAGGCGGGUCUCUGGACAGUUCCUGACACUGAGGCACGAAGGCCAGGGGAGCAAACGGG